GUAUCACAGAAUGCAGAGAGUUUGGCCAAAACACUUAAAUGUGUCGCUCAAACAAAUCUGAGCCUCACUGAGGAAAACCUGCAACUUCUGACUACUGAACUCUCCAAAACACUGCAGACAAAAGUUCAGCAAUCUUUAGGGGUAACAAACUCAUCUCAAAGCAACCUCACCACCUUGUUUGGAGAGUUGCCAGCAGAAAGCUUCACUAUCAGAAGCCUCGACGAUGUGAACUUUGUGAAAUUCUGGUUCCAGAUCAAGAUGAAGCCUCUGCUGCCCAAAAUUCCUAAAGAAUUCUUGUCAUGCUUGAACACACGGAGCUUCAGCUGCCAGACCUACACAGCACUUAUUGUGGAGCUAAGUAAUAAUUUUGGACUGAUGGACAGUGCAACACAGAGAUCAGUUUUUAAUGACUUCAUUGUUCCCUUCCUGACACGACGUCAAAACACAAGUGUCGACUGCACAUUAGCAUAUAACAACAGUGUGAACUUCAUCCUGCAAAACUUCGGCAGUUUCUCUCAGUUUGCUCAGCUUCAGUUUUUUACCAAUUUGAGCCUCAAUUUUUCAGCUGUGGAGGCUGUUCCUGUUCUCUCACUGACACAGCUGGGUGAACUGGUGUUCAGUCCUCCUGCUAGACCUGAAGACAGAGUCAACAUCCUCACCAAAGUCUUUGACUUUCUUCUUCAAGCCUCUAACCGAGACAAACUCAAUAGCUUCCUACCAGCUCUUCAGACACAGGCCAGAAAAGCAAACUUCAGCUGUGAAAAUUACAAAACCAUCUUUGACAGGGUGGAUCAGGCAUUAUUAUCAGUCUCUCCUAACCAGACUGAAGCCCU
rnacentral:lncRNA from 1 species